CUGGAACAAACGCCCUCGGGCGCUACCCAGAAACCCUUUGUGAAUUAUACUUAAUUGUUGCCUCGGCAUUGGUUGGCUUCUAUGAAGUCCCUUUUUCGGAAGGAGCAGACCGGCCGAUGGCCCCUAUAAACUCUUGUUUUUGUAAUAUCAUCUGAGUAAACAACUAUAAAUGAAUCA
rnacentral:misc_RNA from 1 species